rnacentral:rRNA from 1 species
UAAAGAGUUAUUAUAAACUCCCAAACCCAUGUGAACAUACCCUUUGUUGCCUCGGCAGGUCGCGCUUACCCCGUGAGACCUUACCCUGUAAGGUCCUACCCGGUAGGCGCGGGUAACCCUGCCGGCGGCCCAUGAAACUCUGUUUAGUAUUGUUAUUCUGAACCUAUAACUAAAUAAGUUAAAACUUUCAACAACGGAUCUCUUGGUUCUGGCAUCGAUGAAGAACGCAGCGAAAUGCGAUAAGUAAUGUGAAUUGCAGAAUUCAGUGAAUCAUCGAAUCUUUGAACGCACAUUGCGCCCAUUAGUAUUCUAGUGGGCAUGCCUGUUCGAGCGUCAUUUCAACCCUUAAGCCUUUGUUGCUUAGCGUUGGGAGCCUACAGCUUCUGUAGCUCCUCAAAGUUAGUGGCGGAGUUAGUAUACAUUCUAGACGUAGUAAAUUUAUCUCGCCUAUAGUUGUACUGGUCCCUUGCCAUAAAACACCCCUAAUUUUUAAAGGUUGACCUCGGAUCAGGUAGGAAUACCCGCUGAACUUAAGCAUAUCAAUAAGCGGAGGAAAAGAAACCAACAGGGAUUGCCCUAGUAACGGCGAGUGAAGCGGCAACAGCUCAAAUUUGAAAUCUGGCCUUCGGGUCCGAGUUGUAAUUUGUAGAGGAUGCUUUUGGCGCGGUGCCUUCCGAGUUCCCUGGAACGGGACGCCUUAGAGGGUGAGAGCCCCGUACGGUUGGACACUAAGCCUCUGUAAAGCUCCUUCGACGA